rnacentral:rRNA from 1 species
GACGAACCACACAAACGUUAUUCGGGAUUACUGGGCUUAAAGGGUGCGUAGGCUGCGCAGAAAGUUGGGUGUGAAAUCCCUCGGCUCAACCGAGGAACUGCGUCCAAAACUACUGUGCUCGAGGGAGACAGAGGUGAGCGGAACUUAGGGUGGAGCGGUGAAAUGCGUUGAUAUCCUAAGGAACACCCGUGGCGAAAGCGGCUCACUGGGUCUCUUCUGACGCUGAGGCGCGAAAGCCAGGGGAGCAAACGGG